GCUCGAUGCUUGUAUCAUGUAAAAUAUCCUUUGAGAAUUUCUGUAAAUUAACCUAGUCUUUUCAUGUAAAACAUUCGGGCGCUCAUCAGCACAGUUAAAAACAAAAAAAAAAACUUACAAAAUUUAACAGGAAAAACUUGUGGCCUCUAAUAUCUAUCCAUUAUAAGCCAACAAGUUCACUACAUUGCUCUCUUGGCUUGGAGGGACAUUCUAGCAUAAACGCUACAGCCUACAAACCAAACAUGCCUAGUUCAGUGGCCUUCUCCUUCUCGAAUGUCUCAAAAUACUGGUAAAUGAUUGUGACUGCAAGAAGGAUUCCAGUUCCUGAUCCAAUCGCUCCCAUCAAGUCUGCCAAAACUGUCAAUGCACCAAUGCAAACUCCUCCAAAGGCAGCUGCAGUAGGUAUGUAACGAUUUAGUUCCUUCUGCAGGUUGGAAUCACGAUGACCAGGCAUCACCAUUUGUUGCUCCUUGAGCUGUUUGGCAACAUCUCUGGCAGACGAUCCAGAAACUUCAAUCCAGGUCUUUGAGAACAGGGCACAGGCUGAUAACAUGAACACUAUAUAGAAAAGAGCAUGGAACGGAUGCGACACCAUUUCUGCCAAGCUUGAUGGCGCAGUGACAAGGUAAGCAAGACCAGCAACAGGAACAGAUUGUCCAGAAUAUUCAGAUUCUUUCCAAGUUCCUAUCAUAUCCACGAUGAAAUUUCCUCCAUAUCUCCUGUAGAGCAACUGAGAGAUGAAAUACAGGUUUGAGACAAGUGCGGACUGCAAAAUAAUAGGCAUGUUUGAGGUGUAGAAGAGUUUAAUUGGGUAAGAACCUUGCUGUCCACGAGCAUUCUUAGAUCUAACAGGUAAAACUACACGGAAUCCUUGGAAGUAGAUAACGAUGAGGAAGAUCAACACAGUUGCAAGCAGAUUUGUCACAUUGGGGAGACUUUGCCGGUAGAAAGCCUCACGCAAGGCACUAAUCCUAUUAGAUCUAGUAAUAGUAAGAUGGAACAGAGCAAUUAUAGCUCCUUCAAAUUCAGCACCACGCCCGGUAUUGAUGGUUGUGGGACUAAAUGCUUUCCAGAUAAUGCUUUCACAGAUAUUGGUAGCUAUGAACAAGGAAAUUCCAGAGCCAAGACCAUAUCCUUUCUGAAGAAGUUCAUCUAAGCACAUGACAAUGAUAGCAGCAAAGCAGAGUUGGAGGAUAAUGAGGAUAGCAUUUCCAACACCCAAUUGGCUAACACUGCCAUACAUCCCCGACAGGACAUAAGCAACUGCCUCACCGACAGCAAUCAGGAUACCCAAUAGCUUUUGAGCACCAUUAAGGAGUGCUCGGUCCUCCCGAACAUUGUUGUCCACUUGAAUGAUUUUUGAUCCAGCUAACAAUUGCAUCACCAUUCCAGAAGUCACAAUUGGAGUAAUUCCAAGUUCCAUGACUGUACCACGGUUUGAGGCAAGAAUGACACGCAUCCAGUAAAAAGGAUCCGCGCCAGUUGUAGAGUGUAUGCCAUAAAGAGGGAGCUGACUGCAAACCAGAAAAAUAGCAAGCGCAAUUACAGUAUAGAUGACCUUCUCUUUGAAUUGAACCUUCCUGUCAGCACUCUGAACUUCAGGUAGAAAAGAAAGAAAUGGUUUCACAAGGUGCAGCACUCUGAAUCCUCCUCCCAUUGUUCACUAUUAACAGAACUAUCUAGAGGUAGCGACGAUCUGGAGAUGUCCGUGGACUGUUAUUCGCUCGAUUUCUCCGUCGAGCUAUGCUUCUAUUUGUAGGGUUUUGACCAUGAGAGAGAGGAGAGGGAGAGAAGGGGCGGAUCUGACGGAUUUAUGUGUAAGCG
rnacentral:misc_RNA from 1 species